rnacentral:lncRNA from 1 species
UCAUGUUGGAUAUGUUGAACCUCAUCUUCUACAAAAAAAACUUGCAAACGAUAGAGAUUAGUUGUAUGGAUAAAAAUAAUGUUGCGAUGAUGUGUUUGAAAUAUUGUCUUUUGCACUUUUUGUUGGAUAGUGGAAUGCUCUGAAAUGUUGUGUACGUGAAUUUUUUUUCAUGUUGCAUUGGGCAUUUUGUUUGCUGCAACAAUCAAAUGCCUUUAAAAUUGCGAUUCAAGUCAGAUCGGACUGCAGGUGUGGACACUUCUUAGCACAUCCCGUUGUUUUUAGCCGGAAGUUUACCAUCUGGUCGAACAGAGAGAGAAGAAGGCUAAACUAUCCCUUUAAGUGAAGGGUCAGACUCCUACAAAGAACAGAGCCUCUGUAAGGUUACCCGGUUUGGCGGCGACUCCAGGCAACCUACUGAACCGAGUCCUCAAUCCUAUGCUGUAUGACUUUACAUAGGAGAUCGAGUAGCGUCUGAGAAGAUUGAUGACGGUUUCAUUGUGCUUAGCGCUCGGAAGGUAAAAUGUGCAAGUGUGGUCCUGUGGCUCCAGUCCUUAGGUAGAUACACACGCCGCGCGUGCACUGCUUUGUCCCGUGGACAAGCACAAGCCUGCAAAAAAAAAAAAUCGAUCGAAUCCACGUGUGCACGCCAAGCAAAAUACAUCUUUUUACGGGCAAAUAAUACAUCAUCAGCUACCGUGUCCGUAAUAUUGUGCUCCUAGAUCGGCAAACCGCGUCUUCCCCCUGGAUUCUACUCCACUAGGCACACAAGCACAAGCAGGCAAACGACUACGCCUCACUUAGCGCACGGACGCAUAAGAUAAUGGGAUUAUCCCUUCAAAGUCCAGCCCGCACGGUUCGUCGCCGGGGGCAGCGAUUUUAGUUUUCUCCGGGGCUGUCGGGCGUUGCGGUGAUCGAGCACCGCCGCCGCCUUUCACCGACUACUAAUCUUCCCCGCCGAAUUGUUAAUCGCGUUGAAACAAUGCUGGC